GACGAACGCUGGCGGCGUGCCUAAUACAUGCAAGUUGAGCGCUGAAGGUUGGUACUUGUACCGACUGGAUGAGCAGCGAACGGGUGAGUAACGCGUGGGGAAUCUGCCUUUGAGCGGGGGACAACAUUUGGAAACGAAUGCUAAUACCGCAUAAAAACUUUAAACACAAGUUUUAAGUUUGAAAGAUGCAAUUGCAUCACUCAAAGAUGAUCCCGCGUUGUAUUAGCUAGUUGGCGAGGUAAAGGCUCACCAAGGCGAUGAUACAUAGCCGACCUGAGAGGGUGAUCGGCCACAUUGGGACUGAGACACGGCCCAAACUCCUACGGGAGGCAGCAGUAGGGAAUCUUCGGCAAUGGACGAAAGUCUGACCGAGCAACGCCGCGUGAGUGAAGAAGGUUUUCGGAUCGUAAAACUCUGUUGGUAGAGAAGAACGUUGGUGAGAGUGGAAAGCUCAUCAAGUGACGGUAACUACCCAGAAAGGGACGGCUAACUACGUG
rnacentral:rRNA from 1 species